rnacentral:misc_RNA from 1 species
GAUGAAGAACGCAUCGAAAUGCGAUAAGUAAUGUGAAUUGCAGAAUUCAGUGAAUCAUCGAAUCUUUGAACGCACAUUGCGCCCGCCAGUAUUCUGGCGGGCAUGCCUGUUCGAGCGUCAUUUCAACCAUCAAGCCCCGGGCUUGUGUUGGGGACCUGCGGCUGCCGCAGGCCCUGAAAACCAGUGGCGGGCUCGCUGUCACACCGGGCGUAGUAGAUUUUAUCUCGCUCUGGGCGUGCUGCGGGUUCCGGCCGUUAAAAAACCCUUUUAACCCAAGGUUGACCUCGGAUCAGGUAGGAAUACCCGCUGAACUUAAGCAUAUCAAUAAGCGGAGGA